AGACAUUUUUAUUCUUUCUGUGAGAUUAACUCGUUCGCGUCGGUCUUGUGAGCUCUGCAGUGUGCUUCGUGGCGGUUGCGAAAUUUUCGCCACAGCGAGGCGACGGCGGCGGGCCCUGGCUGCCUGUGCCACCCUUGCGUAGCUGGCCGCGUGCAGACUCCUGAUCCCUCGCGGGCGGGUCCGCAGCGCUACGAGGUGGUUUAAGACGUCCACCGGUGUGUUAUCUUUGAAUAAAGCAUGAGAGCCCUGGAAGCCCAGCCAGGGGCACUGCCCCUUCACAGAGUUUCUGCACUAACCUGGUGGCUGAAGGGCUGAAGUUUAGAAUUCACCCUCUUGGAGAAGUGCUGUUGGGAUGCCUAGGUAAUGGGUUCCUGCCACUUCAUCUACAGGCUGUGACAAGAAGUGAAGAGCCAUGCCCCUUCUCCCUGGCUAGAGUGGAGUUUGCUGACACAGAGGAUGUCUUCUCUUUGGUGUUGGGCAGAUCCUAGGAAUUUACAUCUUUUCUGGAUUAACUUGAGCAACUGUCAACUUAUUGGGGAAAAAACUGCCUAGAAAUUUUGGGGAACUUAAAUCGAUUAACUUUCACUUCUUUACUUUGUCUUAAACAAGUACUUGGUUUUAUCAAAAGGAUUCCAAUAAAAUACUUUAAAGCAAAUAAAAAAUAGGUGAUGGUACAAAAAGAUUUAGGGAGGUGAAAGGUAACCACCAGUGAAUGAGCAUCAUCACAUUUGAUAUCUAGCUGUACCUCUUUAUAGCUCUGUACAAACAACAGAAACUAGGUUGUACACACGUGGACACUAAUGUUAAGGAUUUCUAGAUUGGCUACCAUAAUAUAAUGUAGUAGAUGUAAGUAACUAGCAUUUAAGGUUUUUUUGAUGUUAAACAAUCUUAACACAGGCAUCUAAUUUGCCUUUUCAUGAAUUGGUGAAAACAUAGGUUUUCCAGAUAUAUUUUAGAAGAAUAUGCUCCUACAGGUUGCCAGAGGCUGGAGGGAGGGAGAAAUGGGGAGUUUAAUGUUUAAUGGGCAUAGUUUCAGUUUUACAAGAUGAAAAGAAUUGUGGAGAUAGGUGGCGGUGAUGGUUGCAUAAUAUUAUGAAUGAAUGUAUUUAAUACUACUGAACUGUACACUAAAAGAUGAUUAAAAGGGCAAGAUUUAUGUGUAUUUCACCACAAUAAAAUUUGGAGGAAAAAAGCA